rnacentral:piRNA from 1 species
UGGUUUGCAACAAGAUGAACUUCAGUGC